GACGAACGCUGGCGGCGUGCUUAACACAUGCAAGUCGAACGGAAAGGCCCUGCUUUUGUGGGGUGCUCGAGUGGCGAACGGGUGAGUAACACGUGAGUAACCUGCCCUUGACUUUGGGAUAACUUCAGGAAACUGGGGCUAAUACCGGAUAGGAGCUCCUGCUGCAUGGUGGGGGUUGGAAAGUUUCGGCGGUUGGGGAUGGACUGGCGGCUUAUCAGCUUGUUGGUGGGGUAGUGGCUUACCAAGGCUUUGACGGGUAGCCGGCCGGAGAGGGUGACCGGCCCCCUUGGGCCUGAGAUACGGCCCAGUGUCCUACGGGAGGCAGCAGUGGGGAAUAUUGCACAAUGGGCGGAAGCCUGAUGCAGCAACGCCGCGUGCGGGAUGACGGCCUUCGGGUUGUAAACCGCUUUCGCCUGUGACGAAGCGUGAGUGACGGUAAUGGGUAAAGAAGCACCGGCUAACUACGUG
rnacentral:rRNA from 1 species